GGGGAUUUAGCUCAGUGGUAGAGCGCUUGCCUAGCAAGCACAAGGCCCUGGGUUCGGUCCCCAGCUUCA
rfam:Rattus norvegicus chromosome 10, whole genome shotgun sequence.